GAGUGAUAUGAUGGUAUACCAUCUUUCGGGACUGACGCUUGAAAUGGAGAGUUCCUUUUGAUUUACUGAUCACUG